GCUCCCUGGGUUUAAGAAUUGUUUAAGCUGCAUCAAUGGAGCACAUACAGGGAGCUUGGAAGACGAUCAGCCGUGGUUUUGGAUUCAAAGAUGCCGUGUUUGAUGGCUCCAGCUGCGUCUCUCCUGCAAUAGUUCAGCAGUUCGGCUGUCAGCGCCGGGCAUCAGAUGAUGGCAAACGCCCAGAUCCUUCUAAGACAAGCAACACUAUCCGUGUUUUCUUGCCGAACAAGCAAAGAACCGUGGUCCAUGUGCGAAAUGGAAUGAGCUUGCAUGACUGCCUUAUGAAAGCCCUCAAGGUGAGGGGCCUGCCACCAGAGUGCGGUGCAGUGUCCAGACUUCUCCACCAACAGGAAGGUCAAAAAGCACGCUUAGACUGGAAUACUGAUGCUGCCUCUUUGAUUGGAGAAAAACUUCAAGUAGAUUUCCUGGAUGGUGUUCCGCUGACAACACACAGCUUUGCUGGGACGAUGUUCCUGAAGCUCGCCUUGUGUGACAUCUGUCAGAAAUUCCUGCUCAGUGGAUUUCGGUGUCAGACUUGUGGCUACAGAUUUCGUGAGCACUGUAGCACCAAAGUACCUACUAUGUGUGUGGACUGGAGUCAUAUCGGACAACUCCUAUUGUUUCCAAAUUCCACUAUUGGUGAUAGUGGAGUCCCAGCACUACCUUCUUCGACUAUGCGUCGUAUGCGAGCGUCUGUUUCCAGGAUGCCUGUUAGUUCUCAGCACAGGUGUUCUACACCUCACGCCUUCACCUUUAACACCUCCAGUUCCUCAUCUGAAGGUUCCCUCUCCCAGAGGCAGAGGUGGACGUCCACACCUAAUGUCCACAUGGUCAGCACCACCCUGCCUGUGGACAGCAGGAUGAUUGAGGAUGCAAUUCGAAGUCACAGCGAAUCAGCCUCACCUUAAGCCCUGUCCAGUAGCCCCAACAAUCUGAGCCCAACAGGCUAGUCACAGCCAAAAACACCCAUGCCAGCACAAAGAGAGCGGGCACCAGUAUCUGGGACCCAGGCGAAAAACAAAAUUAGGCCUCGUGGACAGAGAGAUUCAAGCUCUUACUGGGAAAUAGAAGCCAGUGAAGUGAUGCUGUCCACUCGGAUUGGUUCAGGCUCUUUUGGAACUGUUUAUAAGGGCAAAUGGCACGGAGACGUUGCAGUAAAGAUCCUAAAGGUUGUCGAUCCAAACCCAGAGCAAUUCCAGGCCUUCAGGAAUGAGGUGGCUGUUCUGUGCAAAACACGGCAUGUGAACAUUCUGCUUUUCAUGGGGUACGUGACAAAGGACAACCUGGCAAUUGUGACCCAGUGGUGCGAGGGCAGCAGCCUCUACAAACACCUGCAUGUCCAGGAGACCAAGUUUCAGAUGUUCCAGCUAAUUGACACUGCCUGGCAGAUGGCUCAGGGAAUGGACUUUUUGCAUGCAAAGAACAUCAGCCUCAGUGGCAUGAAAUCCAACAAUACAUUUCCCCAUGAAGGCCUAACAGUGAAAACUGGAGAUUUUGGUUUGGCAACAGAAAAGUCACGCUGGAGUGGUUCUCAGCAGGUUGAACAACCUACUGGCUCUGUCCUGUGGAUGGCCCCAGAGGUGAUCCGAAUGCAGGAUAACAACCCAUUCAGUUUCCAGUCGGAUGUCUGCUCCUAUGGCAUCGUGUCGUAUGAGCUGAUGACGGGGGAGCUUCCUUACUCUCACACCAACAACGGAGAUCAGAUCAUCUUCAUGGUGGGCCGAGGGUGUGCCUCCCCAGAUCUUAGUAAGCUAUGUAAGAACUGCCCCAAAGCAAUGAAGAAGCUGGUAGCUGACUGUGUGAAGAAAGUAAAGGAAGAGAGGCCUCUUUUUCCCCAGAUCCUGUCUUCCACUGAGCUGCUCCAACACUGUCUACCGAAGAUCAGCUGGAGCGCUUCCGAGCCAUCCUUGCAUCGGGCAGCCCACACUGAGGAUAUCAAUGCUUGCACGCCAACCACGUCCCCGAGGCUGCCUGUCUUCUAGUUCACUUUGCACCUGCCCUCAG